AUUGAACGCUGGCGGCAGGCCUAACACAUGCAAGUCGAGCGGAUGAGGGGAGCUUGCUCCUGGAUUCAGCGGCGGACGGGUGAGUAAUGCCUAGGAAUCUGCCUGGUAGUGGGGGAUAACGUCCGGAAACGGGCGCUAAUACCGCAUACGUCCUGAGGGAGAAAGUGGGGGAUCUUCGGACCGCACGCUAUCAGAUGAGCCUAGGUCGGAUUAGCUAGUUGGUGGGGUAAAGGCCUUCCAAGGCGACGAUCCGUAACUGGUCUGAGAGGAUGAUAAGUCACACUGGAACUGAGACACGGUCAAGACUCCUACGGGAGGGAGCAGUGGGGAAUAUUGGACAAUGGGCGAAAGCCUGAUACAGCCAUGCCGCGUGUGUGAAGAAGGUCUUCCGAUUGUAAAGCACUUUAAGUUGGGAGGAAGGGCAGUAAGUUAAUACCUUGCUGUUUUGACGUUACCAACAGAAUAAGCACCGGCUAACUUCGUG
rnacentral:rRNA from 1 species